AUGGCUUUGCAACAAGCAUGGCGUUCUUCAAAAGAAAGACCAGUGAUCCUGGCUUCUUGCUUAAAUGGAAAUGAACUAAUCCUGCUUUAUGGUCAGCAUCACAGACAUGGAAUGGAGCCCACACAGGUGGGCUCCCUCUUGAAACAAAGAACAGAACGUGUCUUUAACAAGGUAGAGUGUCGACGGCAAAGAAAACCUCGUCGUUUAGUUGUGACAGGUUGUUUCCAAAAUAGCAGCUGUGACAACCAGCAUAAAUAUAGGCGUCUCUCGGUGCUUCGGCGCGUGUCCUCGCCGCCCUCUCAGAGCCCAGCGGGACCCAGAGGCUGUGCCACCCACGACCAAGGGGUCAAGGGCUUUUGAAGCGCUGAAGCAGAGGUAUGGUGUCAGAAAUGAAAUAGGACUUCAUGGAGGUCACAGAGGGCCUUCCGUCAGGUUUACAGAAAAGUGUAGACAAAUACUGAUCGCGUAGGAUGGCUGGGCACCGGGGAAUACAAAACCCACCUUACUGGGACGGAAUGCCUUUCAGUGUGCUGGGUGAGAUUUGUUUGACAUCACAUCAACGUUCGCUGUGGUUUCUUUAUUUUGGGAAUAGCUGGGCUGUGGGAUCAUAAAAGGAACCCCCAGAAAACUAGGUUAAUGUAGGUAAGGGAUGGAACAAAUACCUUAUUUCAAUGGGAGCCAACACAUGAGGGCCCAACAAACUACUCAUCCUCAGCUUCUUGUCUCUCCUCUGUAAAUAAAGGCGUGAACCAGCAGAAAAGACA
rnacentral:lncRNA from 1 species